rnacentral:misc_RNA from 1 species
CUUACCUUUAAGAACUUCCAAAGAACUCUUAAAGUUUAAUGUGUGAAGAGGCAUCCGAUUGAUAAGAUAUGUAGCAGAAAGAUCAGCAUCCCCCAAGUAAGAUGAAGGUUCAUUGUCAACAUAAAGCAUCUAGCCACUUCAAGUAAAUGCCUGUUUUUCCUUUUAGACACUCCAUUUUAUGCACUGGUAUUCACACAACUAGUUUGAUGU